AGGUUGGGUAACACUAACUGGAGGACCGAACCGACUAAUGUUGAAAAAUUAGCGGAUGACCUGUGGCUGGGGGUGAAAGGCCAAUCAAACCGGGAGAUAGCUGGUUCUCCCCGAAAGCUAUUUAGGUAGCGCCUCGUGAAUUCAUCUCCGGGGGUAGAGCACUGUUUCGGCUAGGGGGCCAUCCCGGCUUACCAACCCGAUGCAAACUGCGAAUACCGGAGAAUGUUAUCACGGGAGACACACGGCGGGUGCUAACGUCCGUCGUGAAGAGGGAAACAACCCAGACCGCCAGCUAAGGUCCCAAAGUCAUGGUUAAGUGGGAAACGAUGUGGGAAGGCCCAGACAGCCAGGAUGUUGGCUUAGAAGCAGCCAUCAUUUAAAGAAAGCGUAAUAGCUCACUGGUCGAGUCGGCCUGCGCGGAAGAUGUAACGGGGCUAAACCAUGCACCGAAGCUGCGGCAGCGACACUGUGUGUUGUUGGGUAGGGGAGCGUUCUGUAAGCCUGUGAAGGUGUGUCGUGAGGC
rnacentral:rRNA from 2 species